UGGGGAAUAUUGGGCAAUGGGCGCAAGCCUGACCCAGCAAUGCCGCGUGAAGGAAGAAGGCUUUCGGGUUGUAAACUUCUUUGACAGGGGAAGAGACGAAGACGGUACCCUGAAAACAAGCCACGGCUAACUACGUGCCAGCAGCCGCGGUAAUACGUAGGUGGCGAGCGUUGUCCGGAUUUACUGGGUGUAAAGGGCGUGUAGCCGGGCUGACAAGUCAGAUGUGAAAUCCCGCGGCUCAACCGCGGAACUGCAUUUGAAACUGUUGGUCUUGAGUACUGGAGAGGCAGACGGAAUUCCUAGUGUAGCGGUGAAAUGCGUAGAUAUUAGGAGGAACACCAGUGGCGAAGGCGGUCUGCUGGACAGCAACUGACGGUGAGGCGCGAAAGCGUGGGGAGCAAACAGG
rnacentral:rRNA from 1 species